rnacentral:rRNA from 1 species
AUUGAACGCUGGCGGCAUGCCUUACACAUGCAAGUCGAACGGUAACAGGUCUUCGGAUGCUGACGAGUGGUGAACGGGUGAGUAAUACAUCGGAACGUGCCUAGUAGUGGGGGAUAACUACUCGAAAGAGUGGCUAAUACCGCAUGAGAUCUACGGAUGAAAGCAGGGGAUCGCAAGACCUUGUGCUACUAGAGCGGCCGAUGGCAGAUUAGGUAGUUGGUGGGAUAAAAGCUUACCAAGCCGACGAUCUGUAGCUGGUCUGAGAGGACGAUCAGCCACACUGGGACUGAGAAACGGCCCAGACUCCUACGGGAGGCAGCAGUGGGGAAUUUUGGGCAAUGGGCGCAAGCCUGAUCCAGCAAUGCCGCGUGCAGGAUGAAGGCCUUCGGGUUGUAAACUGCUUUUGUACGGAACGAAAAGCCCCGGGUUAAUACCCUGGGGUCAUGACGGUACCGUAAGAAUAAGCACCGGCUAACUACGUGCCAGCCGCCGCCGUAA